CCUACGGGAGGCAGCAGUGAGGAAUAUUGGUCAAUGGGCGCUAGCCUGAACCAGCCAAGUAGCGUGAAGGAUGACUGCCCUAUGGGUUGUAAACCUCUUUUGUCGGGGAGCAAAAGCCGGACGUGUCCGGCUGUGAGAGUACCCGAAGAAAAAGCAUCGGCUAACUCCGUGCCAGCAGCCGCGGUAAUACGGAGGAUGCGAGCGUUAUCCGGAUUUAUUGGGGUUAAAGGGUGCGCAGGCGGAUUUUUAAGUCAGCGGUCAAAUCGUGGGGCUCAACCCCAUCCAGCCGUUGAAACUGGGGAUCUAGAGUGUGCGAGAGGUAUGCGGAAUGCGUGGUGUAGCGGUGAAAUGCAUAGAUAUCACGCAGAACCCCGAUUGCGAAGGCAGCAUACCGGUGCACAACUGACGCUCAGGCACGAAAGCGUGGGUAUCGAACAGGAUUAGAUACCCGUGUAGUC
rnacentral:rRNA from 1 species